UACAGAGGGGGCAAGCGUUGUUCGGAAUUACUGGGCGUAAAGGGCGCGUAGGCGGCCUGCUAAGUCGAACGUGAAAUCCCCGAGCUCAACUCGGGAACUGCGUCCGAUACUGGCAGGCUUGAAUCCGGGAGAGGGAUGCGGAAUUCCAGGUGUAGCGGUGAAAUGCGCAGAUAUCAGGAAGAACACCCGUGGCGAAAGCGGCUCUCUGGAACGGUACUGACGCUGAGACGCGAAAGCGUGGGGAGCGAACAGG
rnacentral:rRNA from 1 species